UUGAAAGGGAAACGAUUGAAGUCAGUCGUUCCUACGGGAAAUCAACCUCUUGAGCUCGGUCUCGUGGGUUUUGAAGAAGUUAAACGCCUUCAUGCCUGCAUAUUCGUGCACUUUGGGUGUAUUUGCCCGUGUGGUAAGUUAACAUCAAUUUUGGUGGUCAUAAAAUGGCUGGAGGAAUGUAGCUUCGAUCUCGUAUUGAAGUGUUAUAGCCUUCGGUAGAUGUGAUUAUCGGGAUUGAGGAUUGCAACGGAUACCCUUCGGGGCUACCUGUCUAAUCUCUGAUCGUUGCUCUGGUGCCGAAAGCUCGCUUAUGAUGUUAGGGGUCGAUGGUCAAUAGGUUAGAACGGGUUAAAUUCGUUAAGGAUGUUGACGUA
rnacentral:rRNA from 1 species